rnacentral:rRNA from 1 species
CAUAACGUCGCAAGACCAAAGAGGGGGACCUUCGGGCCUCUUGCCAUCGGAUGUGCCCAGAUGGGAUUAGCUAGUAGGUGGGGUAACGGCUCACCUAGGCGACGAUCCCUAGCUGGUCUGAGAGGAUGACCAGCCACACUGGAACUGAGACACGGUCCAGACUCCUACGGGAGGCAGCAGUGGGGAAUAUUGCACAAUGGGCGCAAGCCUGAUGCAGCCAUGCCGCGUGUAUGAAGAAGGCCUUCGGGUUGUAAAGUACUUUCAGCGGGGAGGAAGGGAGUAAAGUUAAUACCUUUGCUCAUUGACGUUACCCGCAGAAGAAGCACCGGCUAACUCCGUGCCAGCAGCCGCGGUAAUACGGAGGGUGCAAGCGUUAAUCGGAAUUACUGGGCGUAAAGCGCACGCAGGCGGUUUGUUAAGUCAGAUGUGAAAUCCCCGGGCUCAACCUGGGAA